rnacentral:rRNA from 1 species
CAAAUUGCCCAAUCUCGACACGGGGAGGUAGUGACGAAAAAUAACAAUACAGGACUCUAACGAGGCCCUGUAAUUGGAAUGAGCACAGUCUAAAGGUUUUAACGAGUAUCCAUUGGAGGGCAAGUCUGGUGCCAGCAGCCGCGGUAAUUCCAGCUCCAACAGUGUAUGCUAAAGUUGUUGCGGUUGAAAAGCUCGUAGUUGGAUCUUGGCUGGGCGCCGCCGGUCCGUCGCAAGGCGUGUUACUGGCGGCGCUCUCCCCCGAUUUUCGGUUCGCCUUUCGGUGCUCUUGACUGAGUGUCGUCGGUGGCCGAUGAGAUUACUUUGAAAAAAUUAGAGUGUUCAAAGCAGGCUCUUCGCCUGAAUAGUGUUGCAUGGAAUAAUGGAAUAGGACCUCGGUUCUAUUUUGUUGGUUUUCGGAACGUUGAGGUAAUGAUUAAGAGGGACAGACGGGGGCGUCCGUACUCUGCCGUUAGAGGUGAAAUUCUUGGAUCGGCGGAAGACGAACUACUGCGAAAGCAUUCGCCAAGAAUGUUUUCUUUAAUCAAGAACGAUAGUCGGAGGUUCGAAGACGAUCAGAUACCGUCCUAGUUUCGACUGUAAACUAUGCCAGCUAACGAUCAGACAGCGUUCUCUACGACUUGUCUGGCAGUUUCCGGGAAACCAAAGCUUUUGGGUUCCGGGGGAAGUAUGGUUGCAAAGCUGAAACUUAAAGGAAUUGACGGAAGGGCACCACCAGGAGUGGAGCCUG